rnacentral:rRNA from 1 species
CCUACGGGUGGCUGCAGUGGGGGAUAUUGCACAAUGGGGGAGACCCUGAUGCAGCGACGCCGCGUGAGCGAUGAAGUUUUUCGGUAUGGAAAGCUCUUUCAGCAGGGGAGAAAAUGCCGGUACCUGACUACGAAGCCCCGUCUAACUACGUACCAGCCGCCGCGGUAAUGCGUAGGGAGCAAGCGUUAUCCGGAUGUACGGGGUGUAAAGGGAGCGUAGUCGGCAGUGCAAGUCUGAAGUGAAAGGCAAGGGCUCAAACCUUGGACUGCCUUGGAAACUGUGCUGCUGGAGUGUCGGAGAGGCAAGCGGAAUGCGUAGUGUAGCGGUGAAAUGCGUAGAUAUUAGGAGGAACACCAGUGGCGAAGGCGGCUUGCUGGCCGAUGACUGACGUUGAGGCUCGAAAGCGUGGGGAGCAAACAGGAUUAGAUACCCUGGUAGUC